UACGUAGGGUGCGAGCGUUGUCCGGAAUUAUUGGGCGUAAAGAGCUCGUAGGCGGUUUGUCACGUCUGCUGUGAAAUCCCGAGGCUCAACCUCGGGCCUGCAGUGGGUACGGCGAGACUGGAGUGCGGUAGGGGAGAAUGGAAUUCCUGGUGUAGCGGUGAAAUGCGCAGAUAUCAGGAGGAACACCGAUGGCGAAGGCAGGUCUCUGGGCCACUACUGACGCUGAGAAGCGAAAGCAUGGGGAGCGAACAGG
rnacentral:rRNA from 1 species